GAUGAACGCUGGCGGUAUGCUUAACACAUGCAAGUCGAACGGUACCUUCGGGUAUAGUGGCGGACGGGUGAGUAACGCGUGAGAAUCUGUCUUCAGGUCGGGGACAACAGUUAGAAAUGACUGCUAAUACCGGAUAUGCCUUAUGGUGAAAGAUUUAUUGCCUGAAAGAGAGCUCGCGUCAGAUUAGCUAGUAGGUGGUGUAAGAGACUACCUAGGCGACGAUCUGUAGCUGGUCUGAGAGGACGAUCAGCCACACUGGAACUGAGACACGGUCCAGACUCCUACGGGAGGCAGCAGUGGGGAAUUUUCCGCAAUGGGCGAAAGCCUGACGGAGCAAUACCGCGUGAGGGACGAAGGCUUUUGGGUCGUAAACCCUCUUUUCUCAAGGAAGAUUUAGACGGUACUUGAGGAAUAAGCAUCGGCUAACUCUGUGCCAGCAGCCGCUGUAAU
rnacentral:rRNA from 1 species